CCUAUGGCUUUCUUGCUGCACCAAGGCUAUCCAGAGGAUUUGGCAGGGACACUACCACAUCAUUACCAAGAGAGGACUUAUGUAGGAGUAUGUAGUGGGGGAUCUUUAAUGGGCAUUACACCACUGUAAAACUCGAUCUAGAGCACAGGUUAACUGGACGAGUCAGUUGUCACGUCCAUUCUGUCACCUGUUCCGGAAAUCCUAAUUGGCAACAAGCAUGUGUUUGAAAUCAAAAGCCAUACAUACUAUCAUCAUCGUGAGUAUGAAAGUUUCAACUAUGCAAGAAAAACUAAUACAAGAAACUGAAAUAGUGGUUCAAUAAGUAAGUAUUAUCAUGCGAAUGUGAAAUCAGAUGGAAAAGUCCAACAUUUUGUGGCCUAAAAAUGAGCGACGACACUCUACACCAGCAAGGGGAUGCGUCACUUGAUUUCCUAUGUGAUUGCAUUCAUGAUGCUAUUGGGUAACAAUAGCAGUGAUGAGGAAGGUAAAUCUGUGACAUUAUGCAGAGGCAACUACAAAACUACAAAUUAAAUUAGCAAAACUAUGUCGACGCAAUCACACGUUUGGGAUAGGUAAAUUCCAUUUUUAAUACGGGUGUAGAUACGGGUGAUCUGCAGAUAAAGGUUAUACUUAAUGUUCACCAAUACUUAUGUCAAAUUUAAAGAUGAUACUGAUAGAUUAGCUGAUCUGGAAUUUGAGGAAGACAUAUGAGAAGUAUUCCAUCAUUUUUCUAGAUCAAAAUGCAGAUUCUUCCGUUUUCAUCCAGGAUUUCGCUCGAAGUGCUUUGAUCAAACCCAUCAAAGUCAAUUUGGGUCGAGCAGAAAGCAACAAAUCUUGAUGUUAUUGACUAGAUAUUCAUUUAUUUAUUAUCUUAUAUGUACUCAAGUAAUAAUGGAAUGAGAUUCAUUUUUAUCUACUACAAUGGUUAAAUUAUGUUACUUUUUA